GUGUGGUCGACAGUAAAACGUUUAUUAGUAAUUGUACUGAAAAGUUUACCUUUAACUUGUUUGUCGUGGGCGAUGAUUUUAUGCUCACUCAGUCUAUCGGAGGCCUUCAAGUGGGGAUUUAAAUAAUCAUUUGUUACACAUUUUGAUACAUAAAAUGAAACUUUCUUUUCACAUAUCAUUUAAGGAAUUUAUUUUAAAUAAUUGUUAUACCAUCACUUACAACAGUUUCACUUUUUAAGAAUAUUAAUGUCCAGAGCUGAUAUCAAUAAAUAAUAAUAAAAAAAAAAAGUUUAUUCAUGGUAAAAAAAAACAAAAAAACUUUUAAGUUAAUAGGGACCCGCGUUAUUUCAGAAAAUAUCUUAUUGAUUAAGAGAACAAAAACUUCUACGUUGUGAUCAUUUAAGAGUGGCCUUCUAUUUAUUCAAUGCUAACCAUGUGGGCUUUGUUUUUUUAUAUAUACCAUAAAUCGAUUCGUUCAUUCAGAUAUUUGUCAGUUUGCCUUGGCUCUUCAAGUCCAACACACAACUUCUCACGAAAUUGG
rnacentral:lncRNA from 1 species